rnacentral:rRNA from 1 species
UACAGAGGUCUCAAGCGUUGUUCGGAUUCAUUGGGCGUAAAGGGCGCGUAGGCUGCGGGGCAAGUCGGGUGUGAAAUCUCAGGGCUCAACUCUGAAACUGCACUCGAUACUGCUUUGCUCGAGGACUGGAGAGGAGAUUGGAAUUCACGGUGUAGCAGUGAAAUGCGUAGAUAUCGUGAGGAAGACCAGUGGCGAAGGCGGAUCUCUGGACAGUUCCUGACACUGAGGCACGAAGGCCAGGGGAGCAAACGGG